rnacentral:lncRNA from 1 species
GGUUUCUUAGUUCUACAAGAGAUGGCCCACCAGCUCGGUUCUUUGCGUAGCAUGACCUGGAUGAACACCACAGUAAUUACCUAUACGACGAGUUUUAAUGUGCCAUUUAUAAUGCAACCACUUCAGCGUUUAAUGGUGAAUUUGUUUCAUUGUCUGUCUCUAGGAUCCAAUUAUGCUCAGGAGCCAAGUGGUAGUCCAGAUGCUCAUGGUGAAAGACAAUCUAGCUACUGGAAACAUCCCUCAGGAGAUUACGGCGGCCUUGAGGGUUUUGAACAAGUAAAUAUGCUUCUAUGCAUGCAGAACCGUCAGGAUUACUUCACUCAUCUUGUCAUGUUUGGUUAUGGAUGGAAACUAUAAUGUUUUUUUGGGUUUAGAAUAUUUAAG